rnacentral:tRNA from 1 species
GGUUGUGUGGCUAGUGUCACCAAGCACUCAAUCGCAUAGUGCUAAGGAGCGUGGGUUCGAUUCCCGCCACAACUG